rnacentral:rRNA from 1 species
AGAGUUUGAUCAUGGCUCAGAAUCAACGCUGGCGGCGUGCCUCAGACAUGCAAGUCGAACGAUUAAAGCUCUCUUCGGAGAGUGUAUAGAGUGGCGCACGGGUGAGUAACACGUAAGUAAUCUACCUUUGAGUGGGGAAUAACAGUCGGAAACGACUGCUAAUACCGCAUAAUGCAGCGGCACCGCAAGGUGACAGUUGUUAAAGGAGCAAUCCGCUUAAAGAGGAGCUUGCGGCAGAUUAGCUAGUUGGUAAGGUAAUGGCUUACCAAGGCUACGAUCUGUAUCCGGUCUAAGAGGACGGUCGGACACACUGACACUGAAUAACGGGUCAGACUCCUACGGGAGGCAGCAGUCGGGAAUUUUGGGCAAUGGGCGAAAGCCUGACCCAGCAACGCCGCGUGAAGGAUGAAGUAUUUCGGUAUGUAAACUUCGAAAGAAUAGGAAGAAUAAAUGACGGUACUAUUAUAAGUC